UUUCUCCAAAAUUAAUGCACACAAUCGUGGUUGCGUCCUUUGGGAAUAUGGAAAACCCGAUGGACUUUUGGGUGAGCUUUGUCUUAAAGGGUUAUCAUAUGGACAACAUAUUAACCCGGCUAGGUUCUACCAUGAUGCAUGAAAAUAAAUCAGAGUAGGUAGAUAUCAAGGUCUAAAAUGGGACCCUAAAGCGGAAAACUUGAGGGGGAAAGGCACGGAACUAUCAAACGCACCGCUGAUCGACUAGUUUUAUCUCAAAUACGCCUUUUAAAAUUUAAAGGGUGAUAUAUAGGAAGAGCGCAAACACUUAUCAAACAUUGCGAUAAGUUUGAU
rnacentral:lncRNA from 1 species